rnacentral:rRNA from 1 species
UGGGUUUCUUCCUACUAGAGUUCGAUUCUGUUCUUAACUGAAUGGAGUAGCUAUCUUUCGGGGUGGUCAGUUGGUUGUUAUAUCUCCACUAAUGAGCAGAGAGGGGUUAAACCUUUGAAGUAAGUUAUGUGGGUCAAGGUAUGAUGAUUAAUUGGAGUUCUAGUUCAUUUACUUUGAGAAAAUUAGAGUGUUUAAAGCAGCCUCUUGGGGCACUGAAUACAUUAGCAUGGGAUAAUAAAAUAGGAUCUUCACAAUAUAUUUUAUUGGUUUAAAUUGCGUAUGAAGAUAAUGAUUAAUAGGGACAGUUGGGGGUAUUCAUAUUGGGUGGUUAGCGGUGAAAUGCUCGGAUCCAUUCAAGAUGAACUAAAAGCGAAAGCAUUUACCAAGGAUGUUUUCAUUAAAUCAAGAACGAAAGUUAAGGGAUCGAAGACGAUUAGAUACCGUCGUAGUCUUAACUAUAAACUAUGCCGACCAGGG